rnacentral:tRNA from 1 species
UGGGUAUAGCUCAGUGGUAGAGUGCUUGCUCAGCAUGCACAAGAACCCUGCGUUCCAUACCCAGUAAUGCAA